rnacentral:rRNA from 1 species
GUUAUAGGGUCAAGUGAAUAAGAGCACGUGGUGGAUGCCUUGGCAAUGAUAGGCGACGAAGGACGUGAUAGCCUGCGAUAAGCUUCGGGGAGCUGGCAAAUUAGCUUUGAUCCGGAGAUUUCCGAAUGGGGAAACCCACCGAAAGGUAUCGCAUGAUGAAUACAUAGUCAUGCGAGGCGAACCGGGUGAACUGAAACAUCUCAGUAGCUCGAGGAAAAGACAUCAACCGAGAU